AGGGAAGGAAGGGGCAGAAUAUAGAAUAUAGGUCAAUGAAAGGCGGCUCUUCAGCUUGAACAUUUGCCCAAAACACAAACCAAAAACACACACGUCUCUCCCACAAACACUCUGUGGGAGCGGGCACAUUGCUGAGAAGCUUCCUACAUUCUGUAGUGAGGAGAGGUUGGGCAGCAGCACUGUGGGCUGAAGACAGUCCACUGUGGAGGGUCCAGACUAGCCAGGCUAAAGCUAAGAGAAAGAAGACCACCGUGACAGACCCGAUCGUCUCGUUGUAGUUCCUGCGGGCAGCAGAGGUUGACGGGCUGAGAGGCUCUGGAGAAGACGUCAAUGAGGAGUGAUGGAUGACAGCCCAUCUGAGACAUAUCCAUGGACCUGGGCUACGGACCAGGACACAGAAUCAGGACCAAAUAACUGCAAAAUGGAUGGACCUCUGGCCUGUUGUUGCCUUGGUGAAAAUAUAGGGGAGAAAUAACAAUACAGUAUUACACCGUAAAGCUAAAUGAAAUUAUAGAGAAAUGCUCGCUAUAUUUUAUCUAACCAUUUGGCAAGGAAACCCUCAUUCUAUUUUAAAUACCAGCUCCAUGAGUAAAAUUGUUGCUUAUUUGGUUUUGAGAGGCAAAGCAGAGAUUAAAUCAAAAUAAGACAGGAAUGUCUGGUGAAAUGAGAACCCUGAAGGUUUGGAGAUAAUAUACACACUGGCCUCCAUCCAUCUACCUUAAAAGGUGAAGUCACUAGGUCACCCGUAGUGCAGUAAUAUGCUGACAGGCAGUUCAUCUCAGAUGGGGAUGUUUUGGUGUGGAGAUGUCCAUCUCUAAUGGUGGACUCUAUCUGCAAGUCUCCAUCUGUUGUUUGGGUUUGAAUAGUGGUUGUUGAGGAGAGACAAGGGCCCCGGACUGAUGCUGAUCCGAGUCUUCGUGCCACAGCCAGACAGAACCCCUCUGCUCCCCUCUCUCCAGUCCGUCACCCUCUCCCUCUACUGACAUAUUCCAUGCUGUUAUGGGAAACCCUGCCAAGUGCCCCCCUGGACCAAACACAGUCCUAGAGAGACAGUCUGUAUAAAUCCACACAAAGUCACUCCGCAGCACUUGGCUCGAAAUAAAAAUCCUCUGGUCCAGAGUACACACACUCACACGUGGUUGUUAUCCUGACUAAUCAACUCUGAAGGUUGGCAUUGAAUGCAUCUCACAUGCUUCGUUUCAUAGCAUCUGUCUAGGGACUCAGUAUUCCCAAUGCAAUGUCACUGAAAAUGCUCACGUCCAGUUUGAGGGGGGAAAAAAUACUUUAUCUGCAGAAAUACUAUUAAUCGGUUCUUUGAAAAAAUAAAAACCUCCACAUCAGGAUCCCAUUUCGGGGAGAAACAAAAUACAUGUCAGACACGCUCGCAGGCCAGCUAUCAGAUAACACAGCCACAUUAAGCAACCUAAUAGACAAGCAUUUCUACAUUGUUCUGUACAUUCCAGAACAGUCCGGUAUUCGCCAGACAGACCUUGCAACAAAGACGACUAAUCUGCAGUUAUUAUACAGAGUGUCCGCGUGUCAUUGUGGUGUCUUUCAACCACUCUGUACCACAGGGAGACUACUGUUGGACCAGCAGCUUCAUCACAUCACUACCUUGGCUUGGACAGAGUGGGACCUGGACUCAGAUACUGAAGACAUGCGGUUAGCUAUGCAUGCAAGGGGCAACUGAAACCAGGUGGUAUGGCACAGCUCCUAGAACCGGUGUUGCUGACAGGAGCACAGGAAGGGAGAGCAUAUAUACCUCUGUCAUGUAUAAAUUACACAGCCACUGGUUGGCUGGCUGGCUCUUGACCUAUUUUACAAGUGGGGAGGCCAGUGACACGUCCAGUGACCUCUACACACCCAGGCGAAAGGCAGAUGGUGAGAUUAAUUGGCUCGCCGGCCUCGAUCAUUUGGCCAGAAGAAUGCGUGGAAUCCAGAGCCACUCCAUAAAAGUCACUCUCUGUGAACACUGCUCCGAAUCAUUAAAUCCCCGUGGCUACGGCCAUGUGAGGCUGUAAAACAUGACGAACUAUCAUUGAGGCCUCAGCUCUGAGCUCCGGCCCUCCUCUCCGAGCCCUCCUCUCCGAGCCCUCCUCUCCCACCUGAUUGAUGGCAGAGUGAAACUUUAUGGGGCGUGUGCAGCACAGGGAGAGCAGAAUAAACCAAUAAUCGCUUUGUCUGCUAACCGAAGUGAUAGCGCAAAAACCCAAUAGCACCCAAGUAAAUCAGACACCAACCUUUUACUAGAUAUGUGGGGCGCAGCGAGCACUCACUCUUGACAAUCUGUCAAACUACUGUAAAUGAAGACUAACUUGAGCAUAAAUCACUGGGAAAAUACAUGAUUUGGCCAUUCUUCCACCAGCAGCCAAGCAUGACUAAGGUCAGGGAGAAGGGCAGUAAGAGCAUGUAUGGUGGAGUAGCAGCACGUGUUGUUGCCAGAGACCUGUGUACCCUAGGCAGAGCUCUACAUCACAUUACCCUGCCAGAGCUGUCUGCUUAGCGCUUGGUUAGCCGGCACAUUCUCUCGCUGUCUCGUACUGUUUCCAUUACAGACAACUUCAGACGUGCUAAAUUAGAACCAGUUAAAGCCCAUGAAAACACGUCAUCGCAUCCAGAGUGGGGUUGUUUUAAGGGUAGAGCUUGGAAACAAACUACUGCUUCCUGCUCCUCAAAUAUUUUGUGGUUUACCUGUUAUUGCCUCUGCUAGGGAACACCCAAGAAAAAAGGCUGCCACUGACAUCUGGAUACUUACUGUACAUUAGCUAUUAGAAAACAGUGUUCCAUCCUUUGUAAAAGCAGUAUGUUGACAUUCAGAGAGACUUUUAGGAGGGAUGUUAACUACCUCGUGGAGGGACAUACCGUACACUGAACUUUAAUAACAGAGCCAGUUGAUUUGUUCUGACAGUCUCACAUCACAGACUGGGACAGACUGGCCGAGCUUUGACCCACCUGGAGGGCACAGUUCAUCAUGCGGAUGACGUAGUCAAACUGUUGGUGGUCCAGUAUGGCCCGGUUCUGCUGGACGUGCAGACUGAGCUCCUCAGUCAGACACUGGCGAGCCGCCUUGCCUUUCAGAGCACGCAGCGCAGCCGGCAGGGUCUGGGAACACAGCACAGCCUGUUUUUAACACAAAUACCAUGUCACACCACAACAUACAUGAACAAAAACAGUGGGGAUAAUCAUCUUAUUGAAUUGAUUUCUCAACUUCCCAGAAUGUUAUGUCCCAGAAUUCUAGAACCAAUCAGGCUACAGCCAAGAAACAUAAGCUGGUAGCUCUGCAGGAGCUCAGGGACAGGUACAAUAGCAGCUACAGUAUUACCAGUCCAAACUGUGAAUUGUUGACCUCUGGGAAAUAUUAAUAAUACGACACAUUUCAUACUAAUGUCAAACAAUGAGAAAAUGUGAUGGUCAUGCGUCUGGGUAAUGGUUUUCACAUUGGCUGUAUAAUGUAUAUUGAGGUGAAGGGUUUAUAGGCUCGGGGGGGUGGGGGGUUAUAGCUGGAUGCAUGUCUGCCUUAUAUAACCUGGUUAUUACAGCCAGCGGUUCAGGCAUAAAGAAACUGGCUCCCUUCCCAUUUCAUGUAGUGCACAUGGGACACCCCCAUCAACGUUCCUAUGGGCUAUAGGGGGUGCCACGGUGCGGGGAAAUCAAAGAGCAUCAUUUACGUGUAAAUGCUUUAUGGGAAAAAGCAGAAAGCAAAACAGCUAUGCCAUUAACAUCGGUGUUAAAACAAUGGGGUUAUUUCUGCUGAUAACGAGGAGAUUAUGAGUCUAAGUGUUUGAUUAUCUGUCUCCAGUGUGGCCAUGUCUCCCAGCUGGGAGGUAUAAUUAGCCUGAUAGAGUUGAGAGCGCUAACUCCAGACAGACACACACGGUUGCCUGCCUGCUGUAAUCGGAGGGAUGGAUGUCAGUCCAGGUGUCUGGGCCAUUACAGACGUGGCUGAUUACACUGUGCUGAGAGACAGGGAUUAGGGAGGAUGCCGUGCGUCACCUUCUCAGUCUCCUGGGUCUUGUUGUCGAAGAUGAAGGAGAUGCAGCUCCUCACCACCUCUAGCCUGCGAGCGCUGUUGAACACUGAGCCCAUCUUCCCCAUGAUGGACACUGCACAGAUGAGGGGUGAGCAGGUUAGGAAUACAAGAGUGGUAGAAAUACUAGUUACGCUAGUACAGACGCCAUUCAAUACUCAGAAACUAAGUACUUACAGCUAUUAACACAUUAUAGACAGACUCCUGCCAAGCCAUUUGUCUCACACAGGAGCAGACAUAGAGUAGAGCUGAUGUUUGUGUCUCACGUACCCACGGGAGGGCCGGCAGGCACCACACACUUCCUCUCUGCGCGGGUGGUGGUAGUGAUGGCAGCGGCGCUGGGAUGCUUGGCCAGGCCCUCCGCCAGCAGCCGCUCCACCUUCUCAUCGUCCAGCAGGGGGAAGGGCACCACAUGCACCCGCAGGUGGGAGCCCUCUGUGGGCCGAGGCACUUUCUGGAACGCCAUGUGGGGGUUGGGAUUCUCCUGUAAUGGACCAUUCAAUAAUAAAACAUACAGACAAGCACAACACUAUCAACAUCUGUGACGGCCAUAGGACAUGCUAGAACACUAAAGAGUACAGAAAGUGCCUAAUGUGAACACUAUAGCAUAGAGGCCCAGUUAACUCACGUUUUUGUACAGUUGGUCAGAGAGUUCCCUCAUGUGCUUCUGCAGCUUGGCAGGGCUAGCCGCCCCCUCCUUAAAGCGCUCCAUGUCAAAGGCCACCAGCUACAGAACCAACAACAAGUCAGUCAAGCUGUUCCCAAACGAUACAAUCUCUCAACAACAGUGAAAUUAGAAAAACUGUUGCCAAAUCAGACGAGAGCUGCUGUCUGGUUACAUUAGCCAUGCCUGACAGUACCUCAUCAAAGAGAUCACAGGCUCUGUAAGGCGGACCCCUCUCAGACACGAAGCCAGCGAAGGCCAUGCCAUCCAGAACCUUGGUCAGGAAGUCAUUCUCGAUCAGGCCUCUCUGGCCCAGGAAGGCAGUCUUUAGGGGGACAGGGUCAAAGGUUAUAUAAUGGUAGGUACAUAAAGAUGUACGUAGCUUUACUUUUCUGAGCUUCUCUUUUCUUUAUUGUUAUAAUUUUCUUAUCACAUUGAACCCAGUCACAAAAGUGAAACAAAUGACUGAAGAUGGCUACAUGCUGAAUUAGCCCUGUGGUUCGUGCUAGUGGGUGAAAGAGAUUCCCAGUCAUCGCCUCUCCGAUACAAAAAGCGCGAGUUUCUGUAGAUUUGUGAUGAAUUCCUGGCCCAUAAUCCGAGCCAUGUGGGGUACUUUGAAGGGGACGUGCUGAGAGGUUACCACGGAGACGCCGCAGACACAAACAAAUACAAACCCGGCGAUUUUUUUUCUUUUAAUUUGAUACAUUUCAUAUGGCUCAUCGCGAGGCCAUUGGCCAAGGCCGACAGCACAUAACACAAACAAGCAGAUAGCAUGGUGAAGAGUCAUACGGUCAGUCACUAAAGCACAUCAAAAGAACACACACAUGAUGAAACAAAACACCUCCAAACAGCUUUAUCAGACAGGAUAAGACAGGAUAGGAGAGAAUCCUCUUGUUCUUGGAUUCUCUCCAAACAUUCUUUUACAGGUUGAGAGAACAAGAGUUGUUAUCUGUAAGAUAAUCAUCAGCCUGCACCUAUCAAAUGUUAUGGGUGACAAGCGUGCGUCAUAAUCAGGAGACACAUUGAGGGUGUGAUGGAGCACAUGCCUUCAGUUGGCAAUAGGAUUUUUGACCCACCCAGAUUGAGUUGAUCUCACCUUGUGAAAGUGGAUAACCGGUUCGGAAUGGAUGCGGAUGAGCUGCAGGCAGGACCUGUAGCCCUGGAAGAGUUGUGCAAACAGCCUGAGGAACACGGCUCGCACCUCCUUAUCCUGAAAACACAAGGGAGAGAGGGGAGAGUCACCUCACAGACAUGCCAUGAAUACCACCUUGAUAAUUCAGUCAAGUUCACAUCUUCACGUGAUUAUUGUGCCAUCUGAAGAAAUGGAAAACCCCACAAAAGUUCAGAUUUCUGUGCUAUUCAUACGUCGGACAAGAGAUGAGCGUUGCUAUAGGAGAUAUCUCAGAGCAGUGGCGUCCUCCUCAUAUCACAAACACAUGAUGUUCUGGGAAAAGGCUCCAUCUAUUACAAUGAGACAUGGCCAGGGGUAAAGGUUAAAGACACUGUGUUUACUGGAAUGAUGGGCCUUACCAACAGUUUGAGGUUGGAGGGGGCUGUGCGAGGGGGUGGGAAGGCAUUGUCAGCUAUCUCCAGAUCAGGAUGCAAAACCUGAAAAAAUAAAAAUGCCUCUUAGUCUUGACUUAUUAUUUUGUUUGUUCCUAAGUACACUUUUAUUGUUCAGAUUACAUAAACAAAUACCCAUUACAAUAACUUAGACAAGUUACAUAAGGACAUUCUACAGCUGUUUACAACAAACCACAUUCUCAUUAUGAUCUAAUGUGAAAUAUCUAAUGGGGAUUUGUUAUUUCCAAGGGUGAGCAUUCAGCCUUUACAGACAGAGGAUGUGGUGUGUAACAGGUACGUACCAGAGACAGGGCAGUGUGUAACAGGUAUGUACCAGAGACAGGGCAGUGUGUAACAGGUAUGUACCAGAGACAGGGCAGUGUGUAACAGGUACGUACCAGAGACAGGGAAGUCUGUGUGGUGUGUAACAGGUAUGUACCAGAGACAGGGCAGUGUGUAACAGGUAUGUACCAGAGACAGGGCAGUGUGUAACAGGUAUGUACCAGAGACAGGGCAGUGUGUAACAGGUACGUACCAGAGACAGGGAAGUCUGUGUGGUGUGUAACAGGUAUGUACCAGAGACAGGGCAUUGUGUAACAGGUACGUACCAGAGACAGGGCAGUCUGUGUAGUGUGUAACAGGUACGUACCAGAGACAGGGCAGCCUGUGUAGUGUGUAACAGGUAUGUACCAGAGACAGGGAAGUCUGUGUAGUGUGUAACAGGUACAUACCAGGGACAGGCCAGUCUGUGUAGUGUGUAACAGGUACGUACCAGAGACAGGGCAGUGUGUAACAGGUAUGUACCAGGGACAGGCCAGUCUGUGUAGUGUGUAACAGGUAUGUACCAGAGACAGGCCAGUCUGUGUAGUGUGUAACAGGUACGUACCAGAGACAGGGCAGCCUGUGUAGUGUGUACCAGGUACGUACCAGAGACAGGGCAGUCUGUGUAGUGCGUAACAGGUACGUACCAGAGACAGGGCAGCCUGUGUAGUGUGUACCAGGUAUGUACCAGAGACAGGGCAGUCUGUGUAGUGUGUAACAGGUAUGUACCAGAGACAGGGCAGUCUGUGUAGUGUGUAACAGGUACGUACCAGAGACAGGGCAGUCUGUGUAGUGUGUAACAGGUACGUACCAGAGACAGGGCAGUCUGUGUAGUGUGUAACAGGUACGUACCAGAGACAGGGCAGUCUGUGUAGUGUGUAACAGGUACGUACCAGAGACAGGGCAGUCUGUGUAGUGUGUAACAGGUGCGUACCAGAGACAGGGCAGUCUGUGUAGUGUGUAACAGGUAUGUACCAGAGACAGGGCAGUCUGUGUAGUGUGUACCAGGUAUGUACCAGAGACAGGGCAGUCUGUGUAGUGUGUAACAGGUACGUACCAGAGACAGGGCAGUCUGUGUAGUGUGUAACAGGUGCGUUCCAGAGACAGGGCAGUCUGUGUAGUGUGUAACAGAUAUGUACCAGAGACAGGGCAGUCUGUGUAGUGUGUACCAGGUAUGUACCAGAGACAGGGCAGUCUGUGUAGUGUGUAACAGUGGUUCAGGGAGCUGGGACAGGUGGAUGCACUCUGGAAUCUUUAUGGUUCCUCCAUCCAGAUCAGCUAUGAUAACGUCCAACUGUAAGACAGACAACACACAUCACUAAACAAUCCUUUCCAAUUAGUUAUAUUCCGAUUUUAGUUGUAGAGCACAUUCUACAUUACUAUGGCAGAGCGUAUAAGAGAAACUAAGGCUGAAACCUGCCAAAACAGGCUCUUGGCCAACAUAGUGGAGGAGUCACAACUCCCUGAAACUAAGGGACUCAGGAGGCCGUGUCAGUCGGCACUUCUCUGUUUAAGGGAUGUCAGCUCAACAUAACAUUUCCUUAAAAUGUACAAUGACUCAUAUAUGGAGGACAACUACAAAUACUUAGGUGUCUGGUUAGACUGUAAACUCUCCUCCCAGACCCAUAUCAAACAUCUCCAAUCCAAUGUUAAAUCUAGAAUUGGCUUCCUAUUUCGCAACAAAGCAUCCUUCACUCAUGCUGCCAAACAUACCCUUGUAAAACUGACCAUCCUACCAAUCCUCGACUUUGGCGAUGUCAUUUACAAAAUAGCCUCCAAUACCCUACUCAACAAAUUGGAUGCAGUCGAUCACAGUGCAAUCCGUUUUGUCACCAAAGCCCCAUACACUACCCACCAUUGCAACCUGUAUGCUCUCGUUGGCUGGCCCUCACUUCAUACUUGUCGCCAAACCCACUGGCUCCAUGUCAUCUACAAGACCCUGCUAGGUAAAGUCCCCCCUUAUCUCAGCUCGCUGGUCACCAUAGCAUCUCCCACCUGUAGCACACGCUCCAGCAGGUAUAUCUCUAGUCACCCCCAAAACCAAUUCUUUCUUUGGCCGCCUCUCCUUCCAGUUCUCUGCUGCCAAUGACCGGAAUGAACUACAAAAAUCUCUGAAACUGGAAACACUUAUCUCCCUCACUAGCUUUAAGCACCAACUUUCAGAGCAGCUCACAGAUUACUGCACCUGUACAUAGCCCACCUAUAGUUUAGCCCAAACAACUACCUCUUUCCCUACUGUAUUUUAUUUAUUUUGCUCCUUUGCACCCCAUUAUUUUUAUUUCUACUUUGCACAUUCUUUCAUUGCAAAUCAACCAUUCCAGUGUUUUACUUGCUAUGUUGUAUUUACUUUGCCACCAUGGCCUUUUUUUGCCUUUACCUCCCUUAUCUCACCUCAUUUGCUCACAUCGUAUAUAUACUUGUUUAUACUGUAUUAUUGACUGUAUGUUUGUUUUACUCCAUGUGUAACUCUGUGUCGUUGUAUGUGUCGAACUGCUUUGCUUUAUCUUGGCCAGGUCGCAAUUGUAAAUGAGAACUUGUUCUCAACUUGCCUACCUGGUUAAAUAAAGGUGAAAUAAAAAAAUAAGGCUACAUGAUUCAUAGGCAAUAUUGGGCAAGCUUUCUAUGAAUCAGUCUAAAUAAAGGUAUGUUUCCCUGGUGUACUGUAUUGAAUCAGGGUCAGAGGUGGUUCAUGUCUGGAGAAGGUGCUAAGGAUCCCUCACCAGUUCUUGGAUCUCGCUCUGGAACAUGGAGUGGACCCCGAUGAUGAAGGGGGUGGGUGAGCUCAGCACCUCUAGCAGCCGUGACGGUAGGAUGGGGAUGUAUGGGUAACUGAGUAUCAAACGGGAGACGACAGUGAGGAAACACACCAUUUGCCAGGUCAAAUUCUACCUCUGUGUGUGGUACUCAGUAAACCAGAGAAUAAUCUUUCAAGUACAUUUACAUUCCAGUCAUUUAGCAGACACUCUUAUCCAGAGCAACUUACAGGAAGUGUUUUCAUCUUAAAGACAUAUGAGAACAGAUAACCAAGACCACUUUGGGAGGUUGUUCUGUUUUGUCACAAAAUGUCAAAAAGUCAGAUGGCAACGCAAUCAACAUGAUCAUCUUAAUAUGUUUGAACUUUCAAUGGACUCAUCAAAUCAAAGCCAGCCUAAGUGUAACAAUUUUUACUGAGAAACAAACAAAUAACGAUAAUAAGAAACAUUAUCAUUUAAUUCAUACUUGGUGCAAGUCGUGUCAAUAGCCGAGGUGUAAUGCGGACUCAUGGGGGAAUGUGGAGACUGACGGGCCAAUCACGUACCUGUAUUUGAGGGGGAACAUGAGUGCCUCCAGGGCACGCGACGCCUCCCCUAGUCUCUGGUAGCUCGUAGAAUGGAACAAAACCUUGUGUUCGGUCAGAACCGCACAGAAAAGACUCAGAACAUUCUGGAUUCCUGGCAGAAGAAAGUAGAGAGAAUGUGUAAUUAAUGAGGUAUUCGUUUGGACAAAUGAUUUUUUUUUUUUACUGUUGGGGGUGGAUUUUAUUUCUAAGCUGAGCAAACAAUACUCAGUAAAUUAUAUUUCUUUGGGGUGUUAGAAUGUGGUGUUUUCAAUCAUAUGUGACUAGUUUGUUGAAAUUAUUGGAGUAAAGAUCUGUUUUGCAGAAGAGCCCGGAUCUCAAUCCCACUGAACACGUCUGUAACCUGUUGGAUCAGAGGGUGAGGGCUAGGGCCAUUCCACCCAGAAUUGUUUGGGGGGAAUGGCAGGUGCCUUGGCAGAAUUUGCAGGUGCCUUGGCGGAAGAGUGGGGUAACAUCUCACAGCAAGAACGGGCAAAUCUGGUGAAGUCCAUGAGGAGAUGCACUGCAGUACUUAAUGCAGCUGGUGGCCACAGCAGAUAAUGACUGUUACUGACUGACCCCCCCCCUUUGUUCAGGGACACAUUAUUCCAUUUCUGUUAGUCACAUGUCUGUGGAACUUGUUCAGUUUAUGUCUCAGUUGUUGAAUCUUGUUAUGUUCAUACAAAUAUUUACACAUGUUAAGUUUGUGAAAAUAAACACAGUUUACAGUGAGA